rnacentral:rRNA from 1 species
GUGAGGAAUAUUGCGCAAUGGAGGCAACUCUGACGCAGCCAUGCCGCGUGCAGGAAGAAGGCGCUACGCGUUGUAAACUGCUUUUAACCGGGAAGAAACCCCAGGACGUGUCCUGGGUUGACGGUACCGGAGGAAUAAGCACCGGCUAACUUCGUGCCAGCAGCCGCGGUAAUACGAAGGGUGCAAGCGUUAUCCGGAUUCAUUGGGUUUAAAGGGUGCGUAGGCGGAGCGUUAAGUCAGUGGUGAAAUCCUGCAGCUUAACUGUAGACUUGCAAUGGAUACUGGCGCUCUUGAGUGCGCUUGAAGUGGGCGGAAUGUGCCGUGUAGCGGUGAAAUGCUUAGAUAUGGCACAGAACACCAAUUGCGAAGGCAGCUCACUAAGGCGAUAAUGACGCUGAGGCACGAAAGCGUGGGGAUCGAACAGGAUUAGAAACCCGUGAGUCC